rnacentral:rRNA from 1 species
CUGCUGCCUCCCGUAGGAGUUUGGGCCGUGUCUCAGUCCCAAUGUGGCCGUCCACCCUCUCAGGCCGGCUACUGAUCGUCGCCUUGGUGGGCCGUUACCUCACCAACUAGCUAAUCAGACGCGGGUCCAUCUUACACCACCUCAGUUUUUCACACUCGACCAUGCGGUCCUGUGCGCUCAUGCGGUAUUAGCACCUAUUUCUAAGUGUUAUCCCCCUGUGUAAGGCAGGUUACCCACGCGUUACUCACCCGUCCGCCA